ensembl:miRNA xtr-mir-428a xtr-mir-428a
CACGUCGGCCUAACUGGAGCCCUGUCUCAUUGCAGCUGUGAGUAAGUGCUCUCUAGUUCGGUUGCUGAGUG